rnacentral:rRNA from 1 species
AACACAUGCAAGUCGAGCGGAAACGAGUUAUCUGAACCUUCGGGGAACGAUAACGGCGUCGAGCGGCGGACGGGUGAGUAAUGCCUAGGAAAUUGCCCUGAUGUGGGGGAUAACCAUUGGAAACGAUGGCUAAUACCGCAUGAUGCCUACGGGCCAAAGAGGGGGACCUUCGGGCCUCUCGCGUCAGGAUAUGCCUAGGUGGGAUUAGCUAGUUGGUGAGGUAAGGGCUCACCAAGGCGACGAUCCCUAGCUGGUCUGAGAGGAUGAUCAGCCACACUGGAACUGAGACACGGUCCAGACUCCUACGGGAGGCAGCAGUGGGGAAUAUUGCACAAUGGGCGCAAGCCUGAUGCAGCCAUGCCGCGUGUGUGAAGAAGGCCUUCGGGUUGUAAAGCACUUUCAGUCGUGAGGAAGGUAGUGUAGUUAAUAGCUGCAUUAUUUGACGUUAGCGACAGAAGAAGCACCGGCUAACUCCGUGCCAGCAGCCGCGGUAAUACGGAGGGUGCGAGCGUUAAUCGGAAUUACUGGGCGUAAAGCGCAUGCAGGUGGUUUGUUAAGUCAGAUGUGAAAGCCCGGGGCUCAACCUCGGAAUAGCAUUUGAAACUGGCAGACUAGAGUACUGUAGAGGGGGGUAGAAUUUCAGGUGUAGCGGUGAAAUGCGUAGAGAUCUGAAGGAAUACCGGUGGCGAAGGCGGCCCCCUGGACAGAUACUGACACUCAGAUGCGAAAGCGUGGGGAGCAAACAGGAUUAGAUACCCUGGUAGUCCACGCCGUAAACGAUGUCUACUUGGAGGUUGUGGCCUUGAGCCGUGGCUUUCGGAGCUAACGCGUUAAGUAGACCGCCUGGGGAGUACGGUCGCAAGAUUAAAACUCAAAUGAAUUGACGGGGGCCCGCACAAGCGGUGGAGCAUGUGGUUUAAUUCGAUGCAACGCGAAGAACCUUACCUACUCUUGACAUCCAGAGAACUUUCCAGAGAUGGAUUGGUGCCUUCGGGAACUCUGAGACAGGUGCUGCAUGGCUGUCGUCAGCUCGUGUUGUGAAAUGUUGGGUUAAGUCCCGCAACGAGCGCAACCCUUAUCCUUGUUUGCCAGCGAGUAAUGUCGGGAACUCCAGGGAGACUGCCGGUGAUAAACCGGAGGAAGGUGGGGACGACGUCAAGUCAUCAUGGCCCUUACGAGUAGGGCUACACACGUGCUACAAUGGCGCAUACAGAGGGCGGCCAACUUGCGAAAGUGAGCGAAUCCCAAAAAGUGCGUCGUAGUCCGGAUUGGAGUCUGCAACUCGACUCCAUGAAGUCGGAAUCGCUAGUAAUCGUGGAUCAGAAUGCCACGGUGAAUACGUUCCCGGGCCUUGUACACACCGCCCGUCACACCAUGGGAGUGGGCUGCAAAAGAAGUAGGUAGUUUAACCUUCGGGGGGACGCUUACCACUU